ensembl:snRNA U2 U2 spliceosomal RNA
AUCACUUCUCGGCCUUUUGGCUAAGAUCAAGUAUAGUAUUUCUGAUUUUAUUUUUCCCAGAUCCUCUUUUGUUGCCAGUUCAGAGAGUCCAGGUGGUUGAGUAUCAGACUGUUCCAUCUCAUUUCCCUUCGGGGUUGCUGCAGGUGAUCCA